rnacentral:rRNA from 1 species
AGUGAACGCUGGCGGUAGGCCUAACACAUGCAAGUCGAACGGCAGCACAGUAAGAGCUUGCUCUUACGGGUGGCGAGUGGCGGACGGGUGAGGAAUACAUCGGAAUCUACUUUUUCGUGGGGGAUAACGUAGGGAAACUUACGCUAAUACCGCAAACGACCUACGGGUGAAAGCAGGGGAUCUUCGGACCUUGCGCGAUUGAAUGAGCCGAUGUCGGAUUAGCUAGUUGGCGGGGUAAAGGCCCACCAAGGCGACGAUCCGUAGCUGGUCUGAGAGGAUGAUCAGCCACACUGGAACUGAGACACGGUCCAGACUCCUACGGGAGGCAGCAGUGGGGAAUAUUGGACAAUGGGCGCAAGCCUGAUCCAGCCAUACCGCGUGGGUGAAGAAGGCCUUCGGGUUGUAAAGCCCUUUUGUUGGGAAAGAAAAGCAGCAGGUUAAUACCCCGCUGUUCUGACGGUACCCAAAGAAUAAACACCGGCUAACUUCGU